AAAAAAUAAACGUCCCAGUUCGGAUUGCAGGCUGCAACCCGCCUGCAUGAAGCUGGAAUCGCUAGUAAUCGCGGAUCAGAAUGCCGCGGUGAAUACGUUCCCGGGUCUUGUACACACCGCCCGUCACACCAUGGGAGUCGGUAACGCCCGAAGUCAGUGACCCAACCGAAAGGAGGGAGCUGCCGAAGGCGGGACUGGUAACUGGGGUGAAGUCGUAACAAGGUAAC
rnacentral:rRNA from 1 species